rnacentral:RNase_P_RNA from 1 species
AAUAUUUGACAAACGCGGUUUUUCCACAUUUAUGUGUCUGAAAAAUUGAGGAAAGUCCAUGCUCACACAGACUGUGAUGUCUGUAGUGUUUGUGCUUAGGGAAAAAAUAACCUAAGGUAGAGAAAUCUAACGACUAAAGAGAAGUCUAAGUCUUUUGAUAUGACUUCUUUUUGUAAAGUGCCACAGAGACGAAUAAGGCGAAAGCUGGAAAUGAAACGAGGUAAACUCCGCAAGUGAGAAACCCAAAUUUUGGUAGGGGAGCUUUAACGAGGUAAUUAAGAACUGAGUUGGGGACCGAUAAUUCGGUAGAUAAAUGUUUGUCGCUCAUAAUUUGAGAACAGAACAUGGCUUACGAAU